ensembl:rRNA 5S_rRNA 5S ribosomal RNA
UUUCAAGAUUCCAUGCACCCGAUCUCGUUUAAUCUCAGAAGCUAAGCAGGGUCGGGCCUGGUUAGUACUUAGGUGGGAGACCAUUCCCCUUUUUAUACUUCCUAUUUUUGAGACAAGGUUUAGGUAAGU